GGAGCAAACAGGAUUAGAUACCCUGGUAGUCCAUGCCGUAAACGAUGUCUACUAGCCGUUGGUCUCUUUGAGGGAUUAGUGGCGCAGCUAACGCGAUAAGUAGACCGCCUGGGGAGUACGGUCGCAAGACUAAAACUCAAAUGAAUUGACGGGGGCCCGCACAAGCGGUGGAGCAUGUGGUUUAAUUCGAUGCAACGCGAAGAACCUUACCUGGUCUUGACAUAGUAAGAACUUUCCAGAGAUGGAUUGGUGCCUUCGGGAACUUACAUACAGGUGCUGCAUGGCUGUCGUCAGCUCGUGUCGUGAGACGUUGGGUUAAGUCCCGCAACGAGCGCAACCCUUUUCCUUAUUUGCCAGCACUUUGGGUGGGAACUUUAAGGAUACUGCCAGUGACAAACUGGAGGAAGGCGGGGACGACGUCAAGUCAUCAUGGCCCUUACGACCAGGGCUACACACGUGCUACAAUGGUCGGUACAAAGGGUUGCUACCUAGCGAUAGGAUGCUAAUCUCAAAAAGCCGAUCGUAGUCCGGAUUGGAGUCUGCAACUCGACUCCAUGAAGUCGGAAUCGCUAGUAAUCGCGGAUCAGAAUGCCGCGGUGAAUACGUUCCCGGGCCUUGUACACACCGCCCGUCACACCAUGGGAGUUUGUUGCACCAGAAGUGGAUAGUCUAACUGCAAAGAGGACGUUCACCACGGUGUGGCCGAUGACUGGGGUGAAGUCGUA
rnacentral:rRNA from 1 species